rnacentral:lncRNA from 1 species
GAGAAAUAAAAGAAAAAGAGAAUAAAUAGAAAGAUUGAGAGCAAAUUCUAUUGGGAUUUGAAAAGGGUCAAAUUGAAAUUCUAAUUAGGAAAAGAAGAUAAAAGGAUGGUAGAAUUCUAGUUCUAUUGGAAUUUUGAAGAAGGAGCAAGAUAUGAAUUCUAAUUAGGAAAGAACUGAUUAAAUUCCUAGGGUUCUGGACUUGAAGUUUUCCAAAUAAUUUGCCAAAGUUUGAAAUUAAAAUGAAAGGGGAGGAGGAAAAGGCUCAAACUUGG